rnacentral:rRNA from 1 species
UACGUAGGGACCAAGCGUUGUUCGGAUUUACUGGGCGUAAAGGGCGCGUAGGCGGCAAUUCAAGUCAUCUGUGAAAUCUCCGGGCUUAACUCGGAACGGUCAGAUGAUACUGCUUUGCUAGAGUGCGGAAGGGGCAAUCGGAAUUCUUGGUGUAGCGGUGAAAUGACGUAGAUAUCAAGAGGGAACACCUGAGGUGAAGACGGGUUGCUGGGCCGACACUGACGCUGAGUGCGCGAAAGCCAGGGGAGCAAACGGG